CCAUCCAUCCAUCCAUCCAUCCAUCCAUCCAUCCAUCCAUCCAUCCAUCCAUCCAUCCACAUGGAGAACGAUAAGCCUCCUCCGUACGUCCCUCAGGCCCCCGGCGGGCCCUCGGCCCCCGGCUAUCCAGCGGCGUUGAGCGCUCAGCCUCAAGCCUUCCCCGGCAUGCCAUACCAGACUUUCCCCCAGACCUACACAGGAGGAGGAGACCAGACCUACUACCACGGACCACCUGGGCCCCCGGGGGGGCCCCGGGGCCCCCGGGGCCCU